ACAAAUUUUAUUAGCGGCUUGAGAUGCAUUUUUGCCUUUAACGUAGUAGUACUGUAAAAUAUGCCGUAUUUUCUCUUUAUUUUGCUCCAUCUUUGCGACGCUAUAACUCACGAACGACUUAAAAGAAACGACAAUCAGUCAAACACGUGUUAGCGCGUAAAAUGAGCUUUCCAAAAAGGUAUAGCAUGACCCGAUGCGACGAAUAAAACUAGAACUACGCGCUUACAGCGCCAACUAGCGAAAAUACCGCAAGACUUUUUUGACAACCUAAUAUUUUUGCCGACAGCUGUUCAAUUGCUAGCCUUAUUUUCCAUUGACGUUUAUCAACCUGUUUAUACAUACUUACAUAUGUAUACAAUUUUUAAUUUUUUAUAGAUCUUUCAGAUCAUCAUCAAUGAAUAAGACUUUCUUGAACCGAUUCACAAAACUUCUUGGCGUUAAUAUUCCAAUUUUAUUAGUUUCAGAGUUGCAUUUGUUGAGAGUCUUUGCAUGAACCAUUGUGGAUUCUAUUUUUAACCAAAACAGCUGCUAAAAUCAUUUCUAGUCAUGCAAGAAUAAAUUUUUAUAUACUAUAUACCGUACAGAUAUGUUUGGAUAUACACUUGAGAAUGUACAUACAUAUAUACAUAUGUGCAUAUAUAAUUAGUGCUGUCGUUUGUUGCAUGCAUGAAUCGCUGCUUGCGUAUAUAACAGAGUUCAUUUGCAUAUUAUUGCCUCGUGGCCACGCCAACAUAAAGCAUUUUAGUUGCAACAGAAAUGGCAUUCAAUCAUUAACUUACACAUUUUAUACGGUUCUGGAAAUAAGAAUUAAAGAUUUUAUAACAAAUAGUAUAGCAGAAUAUAAAUUUCAGUCAAGAAAACGGAUAACAUACUCGCAUAUGCGGAAGGACUAAAGGGUCUAGGGACCUGUGACUAUAGAACUCUACACAUGUUCAAGAAAUUGCUUUUGUUUGCUGCCAUCGCUUAGAACCACAAUUCAUUUCGAAAAGCCAUCUUAAAUCACAUUAGCCCAGUGAUCCCCUAAAUGUUCCCAACUUCGUUUGAAUUAGUGUAAAUAACUGUCUUUUGAGAUAGUAGAUAGUGAAGUGCAGUCUUUGUUGAUAUUUGAACGGCAUUUGCGAUGAAUGCUGAGUUUGUUCGUAGACCAGAGAGCUUUGCCGAUUCUGUUGGAGAUAAUGUGGUAUUGAGUAGUUUCGCUUAGCUCUUGUGAAUGCGGGUGAAUGUAAAUUUUCGGUGAGUUAGGAAAUUCUGAAAUUACUUCAGUCUCAACCUUAAGUUAAACGUUAUGGGAUCCACAAUUAAUUACAUAUAGCGGUUUAAAGGAUGGAUUGGAUUAGAAAUUAUAUUGAGAUCUUACAAGCUAACAACUUUGGAAAGCCUUAAAGAAAGUUGAAAUCUGGGAGGAAGUUUUUGAGCGUCAAGAACUAAAUUAACGGGUCAUAUCCACUACUUGGAAUGUUAGACUAACUACAAAGUCAGUUUUAAGUUAAGUAAAGUUUCAUGCCCUAACCGAGAAAAUUCUUUUUGCGUUUCAUCACUUUUUCUUUGAAAGCCAUUCAACUGUUAGUUGUCCAGCUGGGCAUCAGAUCGUUUUAAUUAUUUAAAACCAUUUACGGUUUGAACUAGCAGGAUCUUCCUUUGUCAUCAUGCGUUGACGGCCAAUGUAGGAGUCACUCACGUCAAACAUGAUGAACGCUAUGCAAGAUUUUGUAUAAAUUUAUCUUGAGAGUAUCAUAGUAUACCAACAAGGAGCCGGAUAACCCCGCUGCGGGCGAAAAAACCACAAAUCGCACUAAAUUUAAUUUAAAGCGCAUAGAUAUAUUUGCGUCAGUACUAAAAUUAGUUAUGAAAUCAGUGUCAGGGCGGAAACCACAUUUAUCACUGCGCCCACAUUACUAUAAAUAUUUUACGUACUUAACUGGUAUUUAACCGGUAGUUAUGCUGUUGUCUGACGUCGUGGAGCUGUACAUUAUGUAUCCGCCUACAAAAUCUUCAGAAGAGUCAAAAUCAACAACGGCACCGGGAGUCAUCUUUUAAGAUAGCUUUGUUUGGACGCCAU